CGAACGACACCUUUUUUUUUUUUUUAACGAAGAGGGUGACGGAUCGGUAUUGAGGAUUUUUGCCAUUCACCGUGGCUUCCUCGAAAAGCAUUAGCGCAUCCAUUCAAUAGGCAAGACGGACGAAAGCUCGAAUUUCGCCCUGUUCUUCCCUGCCGGGUUUUGAUAAUAUCAGGACUUCGGAGGCGGAGAGAGGGUUCAAGCUGGACGCAACGUUUUGCUGGUUGGAGUGCUUCUAACCCCGCCCAUGACUGGUCCUUCGGGAACAGGAAGGGAUUUUUUCAAUCAUCGGCCUCA
rnacentral:misc_RNA from 1 species